UAGGGAAUAUUAGAAAUGGACGAAAGUCUGAUCUAGCAACACCGCGUGUGCGAAGAAGGCCUUCGGGUUGUAAAGCACUUUUUGGAAGGAUUAGGAAGGAAUGUACUUCCAGAAUAAGUCUCGGCUAACUACGUGCCAGCAGCCGCGGUAACACGUAGGAGGCAAACGUUAUCCGGAUUUACUGUGCGUAAAGCGCGUGUAGGUGGUUCUGUAAGUAGGGCGUGAAAGUGCCUGGCUCAACUGGGAGAGGUCGUUCUAAAAUGCAGAGCUAGAGGAUGGUAGAGGGAGGUGGAAUUCCGGGUGUAGCGGUGGAAUGCGCAGAUAUCCGGAGGAACACCAGUGGCGAAAGCGGCCUCCUGGACCAUUCCUGACACUCAGACGCGAAAGCUAGGGUAGCAAACG
rnacentral:rRNA from 1 species